rnacentral:rRNA from 1 species
GCCCGCUCAGAACUCAAAGGAAUUGACGGGGCCCGCACAAGCGGUGGAGUAUGUGGUUUAAUUCGAUGCAACGCGAAGAACCUUACCUGGUCUUGACAUCCCGGAGACCCUUAGGAAACUAGGGGGUGCUUCCAUCUGGAAGAAUCUGGAGACAGGUGCUGCAUGGCUGUCGUCAGCUCGUGUCGUGAGAUGUUGGGUUAAGUCCCGCAACGAGCGCAACCCUUGCCUUUAGUUGCCAGCAGUUCGGCUGGGCACUCUAAAGGGACUGCCGGUGUUAAACCGGAGGAAGGUGGGGAUGACGUCAAGUCCUCAUGGCCUUUAUGACCAGGGCUACACACGUACUACAAUGGCCGAUACAAAGGGCAGCGACACUGCGAGGUGAAGCCAAUCCCGUAAAAUCGGUCUCAGUCCGGAUUGGAGUCUGCAACUCGACUCCAUGAAGUUGGAAUCGCUAGUAAUCGUGGAUCAGCAUGCCACGGUGAAUACGUUCCCGGGCCUU